rnacentral:rRNA from 1 species
CCCGCGGUAAUACGUAUGGUGCAAGCGUUAUCCGGAAUCACUGGGCGUAAAGGGUACGUAGGCGGUGAUGCAAGUCAGAAGUGAAAGGCUACGGCUCAACCGUAGUAAGCUUUUUGUAAACUGCAUGACUAGAGUUCAGGAGAGGUAAGUGGAAUUCCUAGUGUAGAGGUGAAAUUCGUAGAUAUUUAGGAGGAACACCAGUGGCGAAGGCGACUUACUGGACUGAUACUGACGCUGAGGUACGAAAGCGUGGGGGAGCGAACAGGAUUAGAUACCCCUGGUAG